CUCUUCUGAACAGAUGCCUCUAGAGGAUUUCCCCACCUAGAAAACAUCUCCCAGCAGAUGGCCUUUAUAUCGCUGCAGUUACUUGAUGGUGCAGAGAUGGCUGCUGGAAUGCAAGCGAUCACUUCACAUCACAGGGAUCAGCAGGAAGAGGGAAAGGACACAAAUGCCUUCCUCCCAGUUCUCUUUUAGGUUUUCAUGAAUGGUACUAGGUUUUGCAAGAGGAUCUCACAGCUGAAUGCAGAGAAAAACGGAGAGGGGGUAUUUAUCCAGAAGCCUCACCAUCUACACCACAGUGUGCUGACAACCAGGAAAUUCCAAGAGGAUGAACAAUUACAGUUAUAAUUUUCAACUGUCUUUGUUAUGAGCAUCCUGCCUUUGCCUUUCGGUCCUGCCUAAUCUUGUUUUACCCUGUACAUUUACUGCCUCACUUCCUUCUUCAGAAAUGGCAAGUUUUCUUUCUGCUCUGUUAAGUAUGUAAAUGUCUUUAAUGCAGAGAGAUGAGGGAGGAUAAGUGAGCUACCGAUGUGGAGGGUUUGUCCAGGAGAAAUGCAAAGACGGGAGACUGGAAAAAAAUCAGGCAGGUCUGGGGAAUGUGGAGGCCUGUGGAGUGCCCGUUGGGCAGGGCAUGGGGAGGAGUAGCAACGAUGAGAAAUGACCUUCACUUUCUCCUGUGACCAGGGACACAUUUGUGAUGGAAGAUAGCUGUGUCACUUAUGGGAUAAAGUGCUAAAUAAA